rnacentral:rRNA from 1 species
UACGUAGGGUGCGAGCGUUGUCCGGAAUUAUUGGGCGUAAAGAGCUCGUAGGCGGCUUGUCGCGUCGGCUGUGAAAACCCGGGGCUCAACCCCGGGCCUGCAUUCGAUACGGGCAGACUAGAGUUCGGUAGGGGAGUCUGGAAUUCCUGGUGUAGCGGUGAAAUGCGCAGAUAUCAGGAGGAACACCGGUGGCGAAGGCGGGACUCUGGGCCGAUACUGACGCUGAGGAGCGAAAGCGUGGGGAGCAAACAGG